GUUUGGUUAAGUUAGAAAGGGCGCACGGUGGAUGCCUUGACACUAGGAGUCGAUGAAGGACGGGACUAACGCCGAUAUGCUUCGGGGAGCUGUAAGUAAGCUUUGAUCCGAAGAUUUCCGAAUGGGGAAACCCACUAUACGUAAUGGUAUGGUAUCCUUAUCUGAAUACAUAGGGUAAGGAAGACAGACCCAGGRAACUGAAACAUCUAAGUACCUGGAGGAAGAGAAAGCAAAUGCGAUUUCCUGAGUAGCGGCGAGCGAAACGGAACAUAGCCCAAACCAAGAGGCUUGCCUCUUGGGGUUGUAGGACAUUCUAUACGGAGUUACAAAGGAACGAGGUAGACGAAGCGACCUGGAAAGGUCCGUCGUAGAGGGUAACAACCCCGUAGUCGAAACUUCGUUCUCUCUUGAAUGUAUCCUGAGUACGGCGGAACACGUGAAAUUCCGUCGGAAUCUGGGAGGACCAUCUCCCAAGGCUAAAUACUCCCUAGUGA
rnacentral:rRNA from 1 species